AGCGAACGCUGGCGGCAGGCCUAACACAUGCAAGUCGAACGAACCUUUCGGGGUUAGUGGCGGACGGGUGAGUAACACGUGGGAACGUGCCUUUAGGUUCGGAAUAACUCAGGGAAACUUGUGCUAAUACCGAAUGUGCCCUUCGGGGGAAAGAUUUAUCGCCUUUAGAGCGGCCCGCGUCUGAUUAGCUAGUUGGUUGAGGUAAUGGCUUACCAAGGCGACGAUCAGUAGCUGGUCUGAGAGGAUGAUCAGCCACAUUGGGACUGAGACACGGCCCAAACUCCUACGGGAGGCAGCAGUGGGGAAUCUUGCGCAAUGGGCGAAAGCCUGACGCAGCCAUGCCGCGUGAAUGAUGAAGGUCUUAGGAUUGUAAAAUUCUUUCACCGGGGACGAUAAUGACGGUACCCGGAGAAGAAGCCCCGGCUAACUUCGUG
rnacentral:rRNA from 1 species